GGGGCAUUGGUAUAGUGGUAUUACCCCCCUUCGGGUGGGAGAGGUCCCGGGUUUGAUUCCCGGAUGCCCCC
rnacentral:tRNA from 1 species